GAUGAACGCUGGCGGCGUGCCUAAUACAUGCAAGUCGAGCGAAGCGGGGACGGGUGAGUAACACGUGGAUAACCUCCUCAAAGAAUGGGAUAAAUUCGGGAAACAGUAGCUAAACCGGAUAUUUUAAGAUGGAUCCGAGUUGCAUUAGCUAGUUGGUAAGGUAACGGCUGACAAAGGCAACGAUGCAUAGCCGACCUGAGAGGGUGAUCGGCCACACUGGAACGGAGACACGCGCCAUACGCCUACGGGAGGCAGCAGUAGGGAAUCUUCCGCAAUGGGCGAAAGCCUGACGGAGCAACGCCGCGUGAGUGAUGAAGGUCUUCGGAUCGUAAAACUCUGUUAUUAGGGAAGCGGUACCUAAUCAGAAAGCCACGGCUAACUACGUGCCAGCAGCCGCGGUAAUAC
rnacentral:rRNA from 1 species